rnacentral:rRNA from 1 species
UACAGAGGUGGCAAGCGUUGUUCGGAAUUACUGGGCGUAAAGGGCGCGUAGGCGGCUUGGUCAGUCCCGUGUGAAAUCCCUCGGCUCAACUGAGGAACUGCACGGGAAACUGCCUGGCUUGAGUUCGGGAGAGGGAAGCGGAAUUCCGGGUGUAGCGGUGAAAUGCGUAGAUAUUGGGAGGAACACCGGUGGCGAAGGCGGCUACCUGGACCGGUUCUGACGCUGAUGCGCGAAAGCGUGGGUAGCAAACAGG